rnacentral:lncRNA from 1 species
CUGUGCGAUGGCGGGGGCUGAGGGACUCAUGGCUGAAGUAAGCUGGAAGCUCUUGGAACGAAGAGCCCGGGCCAAGCGCUCAGGUUUGACUGCCUGUGACCACAACCUUCCCCCUCCUGGGUACAGGGGGUGGUGCUCCUCCGCAAGUCCCCUGGAGGGAGGCAGGUGGGAUCUGUCCUGGGGAUCAACUUGCUUCCUUAAGUUGGCUCCAGAAAGCAAUAGGUUUCUCUUGCUGCCCUGCUCUUGUCCAUCUUGGUCCCCAUUCCCCAAUCCCUGCACUUCCCCCAUUUAGAUAACGUCUGUCUUUCUCCCCCAAGUUAUUUCCUCUCCAAAGUUAGUGAUAAGCUGACUUCUCCAGAAACUUUGCCGAGUAAGUCAGCUAGUGACAAGUUCUUUGGAACCUGAACGCUCUUGCUCUGCAAAAAGUAGACCUCCAUUUUUAGUGAGGUCCUAAAGAGCUGGCGACUACUUUUGUCUCAUAUGCCCCCUUCACAUUCCUCAGUAAUUUUUAGCUGCAGCCAGUUCUGUGUGUCAGAAAUUGAGGAAGACGGUUUGUGCCACAAGUUAAGUUAGUGUACAGUUAUGACUCAGAAUGAAAUUGGCCCCUUCCCUAGCCAAAUGGUCCCACCACCUGUAGCUUCUAGUUGUGGUUCCCAACCACGGAGAUUAAAAAGCCAGCAGUCCGAGUGUCCUGAACUGACUUGUUCAAAUUGCAAAGUCACACUGGCGUUUUAAAAGUUAGUACUCCUGAUUAAUAACUUUCCAGAGAGCCAGCAGUGAAACUGCCACUUUUGAAAUUGGAUACAAUCUUGGGGGAAAAAAUGUGUCCUUAAACACGAGAGGUGGGGGACAAGAAAUGUUCAACCAAGAACCUUUCCCUUGUCAAAGAUUGACGAAAGAUUGUAGAAAAGUACUGUAUUUGUUAAAGUAUUGCCAAUUUCAUUCCAUUUGAAAUCUUAAAAUUUUUGUGUGUUUAUUUACUUAGGACUUAGGGUUGUAAUGGAACAAACACAUGAAAAGUAAGAGAAAUUUUUAGAAAGCAGUUGACUCAAGUUCAGAGUCAGUAGAAUUAUUUGAAACAGUUGUAGGGAUAUUUGUUGCUUAUAUUUUCUUUUAUUGUGUCAUAUAGAAAUUUUGAGUUGGUUAUUAACACUGUUGCUGUGGGAAUAGAAAAAGUGCUAUUAGGUUGUUCUGGGCAAAGAGAAUAACUAGUCUUUUGCCAGGGUCUUUAACCGUCCUCUCAACCCCCAACAUGUAUUUUUGCAACACAGUUUUGCAACAUAGUAAUCCUAUAGGGUCUAUUUUCUCUUCAAGUCUUUAUUUUACUCAAAUAUAUGUCACAACAGCAAGUGUUGAAAACCGUAUUUUUCUUAAUAGGGUAAAUUCUGCUUAACUAUUGUUGAAUGCAGUUUCUUAAACCUAGUCUCAGCCAUAGUAGAUACUAUCCAAAUUUACUGUAUGUUUACAUAAGAGUAAAGUGCAGAUAGAAGUGGAAAAAAAAAAAGAUAGUAGUUGAGGCAAAUCUUAGUAGUUAUGUUUGCAGUUUCUACUAUUUUUGAUUCCGAAAAAUACAGACACUAAACCUUGAGCCAUAUUAUUUACUUCCUGCUUAUUAUAAAGUGUUAACUUGAUUCUGUUUACAACUUUUAACUGUGUAAACAGCCUUGUUUGAAACAUGAAUUGACCUGUUUCUGGGACAGGCUCCUCUUUGGAGUUAUAAGCAUUGUUACAUAGUAGCAUUAACAACUUAAAGAACAAUAAAGGAUACUAUUAAUUGAAUGUGUCUUAGUAAGUGGAUAUUAUGUUUCUGUCUUUUCAUGUAUGCAAACUUAAUUUACC